rnacentral:rRNA from 1 species
ACUAAACUGCCGUUAAUACCACCUGAGUAGUACUAGUUUAUACUUUAAACUCAAAGAAUUUGGCGGCUCUUCAUCCCAUUAGAGGAACCUGCCCCGUAAUCGAUGGUCCACGAACUCCCAAGCCCGGGUUAAAAGUCUGUAUACCGCCGUUUAGAGUGGGCCAAAAGGUCUACUCCUAAUUAAAUUAUUAAAUAAUUCAGGUCAAGGUGCAGCCCAUGCCCGGGAGUGAGGUGGGUUACACUCAGACAAUGAACGGACCCACCCCUGAAGCGGGUGGCGAAGCUGGAUUUAAAAGUAAAUACUGCACAUUUGAUAGGGCCCUGAAGU